UACGGGGGGGGCGAGCGUUGUUCGGAAUUACUGGGCGUAAAGGGCGUGUAGGCGGCUAUGCAAGUCAGGCGUGGAAUCCCACGGCUCAACUGUGGAAUUGCGUUUGAAACUGCAUAACUUGAGUACAGGAGAGGAGAGCGGAAUUUCCAGUGUAGCGGUGAAAUGCUCAAAUAUUGGAAGGAACACCGGUGGCGAAGGCGGCUCUCUGGCCUGAUACUGACGCUGAGGCGCGAAAGCUAGGGGAGCGAACAGG
rnacentral:rRNA from 1 species